rnacentral:rRNA from 1 species
AGUGAACGCUGGCGGUAGGCCUAACACAUGCAAGUCGAACGGCAGCACAGUAAGAGCUUGCUCUUACGGGUGGCGAGUGGCGGACGGGUGAGGAAUACAUCGGAAUCUACUUUUUCGUGGGGGAUAACGUAGGGAAACUUACGCUAAUACCGCAUACGACCUACGGGUGAAAGCAGGGGAUCUUCGGACCUUGCGCGAUUGAAUGAGCCGAUGUCGGAUUAGCUAGUUGGCGGGGUAAAGGCCCACCAAGGCGACGAUCCGUAGCUGGUCUGAGAGGAUGAUCAGCCACACUGGAGCUGAGACACGGUCCAGACUCCUACGGGAGGCAGCAGUGGGGAAUAUUGGACAAUGGGCGCAAGCCUGAUCCAGCCAUGCCGCGUGGGUGAAGAAGGCCUUCGGGUUGUAAAGCCCUUUUGUUGAGAAAGAAAAGCAGCAGGUUAAUACCCCGCUGUUCUGACGGUACCCAAAGAAUAAGCACCGGCUAACUUCGUG